CCUACGGGUGGCAGCAGUGGGGAAUAUUGCACAAUGGGGGAAACCCUGAUGCAGCGACGCCGCGUGAAGGAAGAAGGAUUUCGGUAUGUAAAGUUCUAUCAGCAGGGAAGAAAAUGACGGUACCUGACUAAGAAGCACCGGCUAACUACGUGCCAGCAGCCGCGGUAAUACGUAGGGGGCAAGCGUUAUCCGGAUUUACUGGGGGUAAAGGGAGCGUAGGCGGUUUAGCAAGUCAGAAGUGAAAGCCCGGGGCUUAACUCCGGGACUGCUUUUGAUACUGUUGAACUAGAUUGCAGGAGAGGGGAGUAGAAUUCCAAGUGUAGCGGUGAAAUGCGUAGAGAUUAGGAGGAACACCAGUGGCGAAGGCGGCCCCCUGGACUGUAACUGACGCUGAGGCGCGAAAGCGUGGGGAGCAAACAGGAUUAGAUACCCGAGUAGUC
rnacentral:rRNA from 1 species